rnacentral:rRNA from 1 species
GUAGGUGGCAAGCGUUGUCCGGGAAUCAUUGGGGCGUAAAGCGCGCGCAGGCGGUUUUUUAAGUCUGAUGUGAAAGCCCACGGGCUCAACCGUGGAGGGUCAUUGGAAACUGGAGAACUUGAGUACAGAAGAGGAAAGCGGAAUUCCACGUGUAGCGGUGAGAUGCGUAGAGAUGUGGAGGAACACCAGUGGCGAAGGCGGCUUUCUGGUCUGUAACUGACGCUGAGGCGCGAAAGCGCGGGGAGCAAACAGGAUUAGAUACCCUGGUAGUCCACGCCGUAAACGAUGAGUGCUAAGUGUUAGGGGGUUUCCGCCCCUUAGUGCUGCAGCUAACGCAUUAAGCACUCCGCCUGGGGAGUACGGCCGCAAAGGCUGA